CCGUCGCCGCUCCGGGGCCGCACCUUCUCCUUCUUCAGCUUGUAGGGCAUGGGACUUAAACCUGAAAAACAUUCUCCUGGACAGUGAGGACAACAUGAAGGUCUCCAUCUCCAGAUUUUUCCAGAAGGGUGGUCCUGCAGGAUGUCAGUGGAGAGUCUCUUGGGACCUCUGCACAUCCAAAGCUGCCCACUGAGGCAGUGCUGAGCCAGACCUUCUGCCAAUCCUAUGCUUAUGCCUGUCCUGUGAUCCUGCAGGAGAAGCCCUGUGACCUCUUCCUGGAAAACACAUGGAGUGCUGAAGUCAUCCUCUGCACCUUGCUCCAGGACUACAUAUGUUGUGAUGCCACCAACGUGUGGCACGUCCUGCACCAGACCCAGACGUCUCCUGUCUUCCCUCAAAGCACCUCUCAGCUGCUGAGCUGCUCCAGAUCCACUGGGUCUCUUGGUUCCCACUCCCAGAGCACCUGCCUUUGGGCACCUAGGCUGCCAAGCGACCAUUUUGGUUUUGGAAGGGAUUUUACCAGAAAGCCCUUUUGCAGUUUUGAGGCCCACUCAACUUCAGGGGGCUGCUAAUAAA